UGGCCUCUUCUUGCUAUCUGUUCAUCGCCUUCUUCUGUCUCUCUAUCAUCUCUAUUUCAUCUUCCUAUGCUGCGAUUUUGUUGAUUUUGGCAUUUCAAGCAAUAUGUAAUGAAUUACCAUUGGGCUAUGCUCGUUGCUCUUAGUGCUUUCAAUCCAGUCAGAUAUUUUUGCAAUUAAAGAAUCUAUUUAUUUUUGCAAUUAAAGAAUAUCCACAAGCAUAAGCAUGGGAUGGUAAUAAAAAUUCCUCCCUCGAAAAAGUGUUGAAAGGUAUUUACUUUUUUCUACAUCAUUCUUCAUUUCUAUUAUGCUGCUUCUUGGCCUUCACUUGGUUUCCGUCUAAAGUUUCUCCAUUUGGUUACAGUUUAUCUCUGUUUUUCUCAAAAUCUGACUGUAAAUACUUUUUGAGGAAAAUAUGCGAUGUUCAGUUGGUGUUUAGAAUUUGCGGAUG
rnacentral:lncRNA from 1 species